AACGCCAGAGGCUGGCUGCUGCUCUACAUGUUACAAAUUUUACCAAGCUUAUAAAGGUUAAAACCGCAAAAUGUAGCACGCUGGUUACACAUGUUGUUUGCCUUAUUUGGAAUAUAAUGUUGAUGAUCAAGCAAGCUGACCAAUUAAUUCUCCAUCUAUGGCAAAACCCCAAUUUUCCAUCUAUGGCUUUUCCUGUUAUUGUCUUUGCCAGUCAAGUCUGCGGUUUGACCGUUCUAGCACCUUUUCUGUAGUCCCGACAG